UCUAAGAUAGAUUAUACUAAAAAAUUUGUAUGCAGUGUCAUAGGGAAAGCUGCUGGAGACCUGGAGUAAUCUAGUGUUAAUCUUCACUAGAUUAUUGGAAAAUUUGUGGAGUUCUAUAGUCGCGUAGUGGAGUUCUAAUGUCGGGCACGAGUUCUAUUGUCGGGUGGCUAAAAUAGGUGUCCGUCCGGACACUCCGGAGUGUCAUCAGGGACCAAAUUUGGCCAUUAUGUUACUUGACGCAGCCGAAAUGGGAUGCCGAUCGUGACGUUUCCCAAAAUGAAAAGGUGAUUGCUCAUACCACUUUGCCAUCGGAAUUGAAAAUGCCUGUACAUUUGCCGAAAUGUCGUGCCUCGUGCCUCCUGUACCCAGUCGUACGUCUCGUCUCAUGCAACAGCAAAACUCUUACAACCACGCUUCUUGCUGCAGCCAGAUGGUGAAAGGUGUGAUGAAGACAACUUCAACCAUUGUUUGCAGGAUGUGGUGCCAGUGUUAUCCAGAAGUAGCUGUGCUGGAGUUAUCCUGAAGCAGCUGUGCCAGAAUUUUUCCGAAUUGCUGACUUGAAAAUUUUAACUGUUUCUGCUUCUGCUUAUGCGGUAUCCCGUGUUGCUGACUUUAAAUAUUUUUAUCCGCUUUUAUUUGUGGUUUUGCUCUGCCAGUGAGUUGCUUACUUGAAUUGGUUUCAUCUGUCGUCUUUUGCGUUUUUACUUGUGCAGUAUGAUUGUGGCAAUCUGACCCUAUGUUAGAUUUGACAUAGUCGACAACUGCUAGAUUAAACUCCGGCUUU
rnacentral:lncRNA from 1 species